UACGUAGGGUGCAAGCGUUAAUCGGAAUUACUGGGCGUAAAGCGUGCGCAGGCGGUUUUGUAAGUCUGACGUGAAAUCCCCGGGCUCAACCUGGGAAUUGCGUUGGAGACUGCAAGGCUGGAGUCUGGCAGAGGGGGGUAGAAUUCCACGUGUAGCAGUGAAAUGCGUAGAGAUGUGGAGGAACACCUGUGGCGAAGGCGGCCCCCUGGUUGGAUACUGACGCUGAUACGCGAAAGCGUGGGGAGCAAACAGG
rnacentral:rRNA from 1 species